rnacentral:rRNA from 1 species
ACGGGUGAGUAACACGUAGGUAACCUACCCUUCAGUGGGGGACAACAGAGGGAAACUUCUGCUAAUACCGCAUACGAUCACGGACUGGGAUGUUCGUGGUGAAAGGAUUUAUUCGCUGAGGGAUGGGCCUGCGGCCUAUCAGGUAGUUGGUGGGGUAAUGGCCUACCAAGCCUGCGACGGGUAGCCGGACUGAGAGGUCGAUCGGCCACACUGGAACUGAGACACGGUCCAGACUCCUACGGGAGGCAGCAGUGGGGAAUAUUGCACAAUGGGGGAAACCCUGAUGCAGCGACGCCGCGUGGAGGAUGACGGCCUUCGGGUUGUAAACUCCUUUUGUCGGGGACAAUGGUGAUGGUACCCGACGAAUAAGCCACGGCUAACUCUGUGCCAGCAGCCGCGGUAAGACAGAGGUGGCGAGCGUUGUUCGGAAUUACUGGGCUUAAAGGGCGCGUAGGCGGCGGUGUAAGUCUAGGGUGGAAUGCUACAGCUCAACUGUAGAGCUGCCUUGGAAACUGCAUUACUUGAGUCGGUGAGGGGAAGGUGGAAUUCCAGGU